rnacentral:rRNA from 1 species
CACGUAGGGGGCAAGCGUUGUCCGGAAUCAUUGGGCGUAAAGAGCUCGUAGGCGGCUCGGUAAGUCGGGUGUGAAACCUCCAGGCUCAACCUGGAGACGCCACCCGAUACUGCUGGGGCUAGAGUCCAGUAGGGGAGUGUGGAAUUCCCGGUGUAGCGGUGAAAUGCGCAGAUAUCGGGAGGAACACCAGCGGCGAAGGCGGCACUCUGGGCUGGUACUGACGCUGAGGAGCGAAAGCGUGGGUAGCAAACAGG